rnacentral:rRNA from 1 species
UAGGAAGGCAGUGAGUGGCAGACGGGUGAGUAAUACGUGGGUAAUCUACCUUCGAGUGGGGAAUAACCCUGCUAACGUGGGGCUAAUACCGCAUGAUGCCCUCGGUCGGCAUCGGCUGGGGGCCAAAGGCGGCCUCUGCUCGCAUGCUGUCGCUUGAAGAUGAGCCCGCGUCCUAUCAGCUUGUUGGCGGGGUAACGGCCCACCAAGGCGAUGACGGGUAGCUGGUGUGAGAGCAUGACCAGCCACAAUGGAACUGAGACACGGUCCAUACUCCUACGGGAGGCAGCAGUCGGGAAUUUUGCGCAAUGGGGGAAACCCUGACGCAGCGACGCCGCGUGCGCGAUGAAGCCCUUCGGGGUGUAAAGCGCUUUUAUCCCGAACGAACCUCCCGCCCGAUAACACCGGGCGGGACUGACGGUACGGGAUGAAUAAGCCUCGGCUAACUCCGUGCCAGCAGCCGCGGUAAGACGGGGGAGGCAAGCGUUGUCCGGAAUUACUGGGUGUAAAGGGCAGGCAGGCGGACUCGUAAGUCCAGGGUGAAAUCCAUCGGCUCAACCGGUCGGACGGCCCCGGAUACUGCGAGCCUUGAGUCGAGCAGGGGAGAGGGGAAUUCCUGGUGUAGCGGUGAAAUGCGUAGAUAUCAGGAGGAACACCGGUGGCGAAGGCGCCUCUCUGGGCUCGCACUGACGCUCAUACUGCGAAAGCUGGGGGAGCAAACAGGAUUAGAUACCCUGGUAGUCCCAGCCCUAAACGAUGGAUGUUAGGUGUUGGAGGUAUUGACCCCUCCAGUGCCGCAGCUAACGCAUUAAACAUCCCACCUGGGGAGUACGGUCGCAAGAUUAAAACUCAAAGGAAUUGACGGGGACCCGCACAAGCGGUGGAUGAUGUGGAUUAAUUCGAUGCAACGCGAAAAACCUUACCUA